rnacentral:rRNA from 1 species
GACGAACGCUGGCGGCGUGCUUAACACAUGCAAGUCGAGCGGUAAGGCCCUUUCGGGGGUACACGAGCGGCGAACGGGUGAGUAACACGUGGGUGACCUGCCCUCAGCUCUGGGAUAAGCCUGGGAAACCGGGUCUAAUACCGGAUAUGACUCCAUGACGCAUGUUGUGGGGUGGAAAGCCUUGUGCGGCUGAGGAUGGGCCCGCGGCCUAUCAGCUUGU